AUGUCGCUUAUUUUUGGCCAGGGUGUUGGUGCCAAUCAAUAAUAUGCAUGUGUUGACGCGUCUGUUGGAUGCGCGAGAGCCUUGUGUGUGUGUGGUCGGUGUGUGACGAGCGGCGGCCACCCUCGCUUUCC
ensembl:ncRNA C05E11.9 ncRNA